rnacentral:misc_RNA from 1 species
CACGAACCGUACGAGCGUUAUUCGGAAUCACUGGGCUUAAAGAGUCCGUAGGCGGCUUAAAAGGUGAGGUGUGAAAUCCCACGGCUCAACCGUGGAACUGCGCUUCAAACCAUUAAGCUAGAGGGAGAUAGAGGAAAGCGGAACUGAUGGUGGAGCGGUGAAAUGCGUUGAUAUCAUCAGGAACACCGGUGGCGAAAGCGGCUUUCUGGGUCUCUUCUGACGCUGAGGGACGAAAGCUCGGGGAGCGAACGGG